AAGUCGAGGGGCAGCAUGAACUUAGCUUGCUAAGUUUGAUGGCGACCGGCGCACGGGUGAGUAACACGUAUCCAACCUGCCGAUGACUCGGGGAUAGCCUUUCGAAAGAAAGAUUAAUACCCGAUGGCAUAGUUCUUCCGCAUGGUAGAACUAUUAAAGAAUUUCGGUCAUCGAUGGGGAUGCGUUCCAUUAGGUUGUUGGCGGGGUAACGGCCCACCAAGCCUUCGAUGGAUAGGGGUUCUGAGAGGAAGGUCCCCCACAUUGGAACUGAGACACGGUCCAAACUCCUACGGGAGGCAGCAGUGAGGAAUAUUGGUCAAUGGACGAGAGUCUGAACCAGCCAAGUAGCGUGAAGGAUGACUGCCCUAUGGGUUGUAAACUUCUUUUAUACGGGAAUAAAGUGAGGCACGUGUGCCUUUUUGUAUGUACCGUAUGAAUAAGGAUCGGCUAACUCCGUGCCAGCAGCCGCGGUAAUACGGAGGAUCCGAGCGUUAUCCGGAUUUAUUGGGUUUAAAGGGAGCGUAGGCGGACGCUUAAGUCAGUUGUGAAAGUUUGCGGCUCAACCGUAAAAUUGCAGUUGAUACUGGGUGUCUUGAGUACAGUAGAGGCAGGCGGAAUUCGUGGUGUAGCGGUGAAAUGCUUAGAUAUCACGAAGAACUCCGAUUGCGAAGGCAGCUUGCUGGACUGUAACUGACGCUGAUGCUCGAAAGUGUGGGUAUCAAACAGGAUUAGAUACCCUGGUAGUCCACACAGUAAACGAUGAAUACUCGCUGUUUGCGAUAUACAGUAAGCGGCCAAGCGAAAGCGUUAAGUAUUCCACCUGGGGAGUACGCCGGCAACGGUGAAACUCAAAGGAAUUGACGGGGGCCCGCACAAGCGGAGGAACAUGUGGUUUAAUU
rnacentral:rRNA from 1 species